rnacentral:rRNA from 1 species
UACGUAGGGUCCGAGCGUUGUCCGGAAUUAUUGGGCGUAAAGAGCUCGUAGGCGGUUUGUCGCGUCUGCUGUGAAAACCCAGGGCUUAACCCUGGGCCUGCAGUGGGUACGGGCAAACUAGAGUGCGGUAGGGGAGAUCGGAAUUCCUGGUGUAGCGGUGAAAUGCGCAGAUAUCAGGAGGAACACCGGUGGCGAAGGCGGAUCUCUGGGCCGUAACUGACGCUGAGGAGCGAAAGCAUGGGUAGCGAACAGG